rnacentral:lncRNA from 1 species
CUAAUUAGUUUGGUCUGCUAAUAGGAUCCAUCCAGUGAAAACCAAUGCAACCUUACAAAGGAUAUGAACACAGAAGCAAGAGAAACUAGAAAUUCUGGCAAUUAAAGGAAAUCCAUUAACUUUCCUUCACUAAAUUCUACAUCGCUCAACAUAAUAAUAAGAUGAGGAAACAAAGUUGUCAUUCACAUUAACCAUUUAUCAAAGAAUAAAAGUUCACUUCCCAAUCUCCUGAAACAACACCUACAUAUCUAAUAUUCCUGAGAAACAGAGCCAAAUUCAGCUUUCCCUUUUUGCCAAUCUUCUUAGGAAAACAAAUUCUGGUGAAUAUUGGGCAGAACCCCACCAUUAAAAACUGUUGCAGACCCCAGCAAAUCGCUUAAUUAAAAGGAAUUAAAACCAUUUACAAAGUCACUAUGGCAAUAGUUCACAUGAUUAUCACAACUAUAUCCAUAUUACAAUGACUAUUUUUAAGCCAACACUUUCAACAUCAGACUAUAACUACAAUUCCCAGUAAAUUCGAAAAUCAACAUGUGCUUCCACGGAAACUUCAUUAAUAAUUGAAUCACAGAAACAGAGAGGGAGAGAAAGCUAUGCUGAUCCGCCACCAUUAAACAAAUAUUCGACCAAUUCUCAACUAAAAAAAAUGUAAUUAAACUUGUAUGAUUGCAUAAACCAGCGCAGCAUUCUUAGCAAGAAAAUAGGGACCGAAUUAAUCCAAAAGGCAUCAUGCUUCAUGAAAAUAACACAGAAAUCAAAAAUCGAGCAAAUCCUCAAAGCUAAGCAUGAACUCAACCGUUUUAUUCAUUUAGUGCAAGGACAAGACAGAAAAAUUUCAAAACUAACCUGAUCGAACAGAGCACAAGCUACAAUAGGCCAAAUAACGACAUAAAUUAACUCGAACGGAGCUCAAAGGAAGUAGAAACAACAAAACACAACUUCAUCUUCUAAAUUUGGAACAAAACUCGAACAUCCAGAAAUGACAGAGGUGAUGUAAUAGUAGAGAAGAGCAAUAGCGAAGGCUGCCAAAAAAGGCUCGCCGGCAACCUUGGGUAAUAGAGCUUCGACACGAUUAAUGGGGAAGCUUCGGAGCUGCUUCAAUGGCUUUUUUCAGAGGUAUUUCGGCUGGUUUUUGUGAGUUUCUACAUGGUAUAUCGAAGGUGUUUCAAUGGAGGUUUAGGGGAUGGUUUUUGGUGAAGGAAAUUAAAGCUCUUCGUGGAUAAGGUCUGAUCUUCUCCUCUCCGUUGCUGAGCGAGAAAUGAGGGACCAGACCAAAGGGAAACGACGCUCCAGUUCUCAAAAUGGGUAAGGGAUUUGAUAUCGUCCUAGGUCUAGUGUCUGUGUAGUUGAAGAUGAGUAAUGGAGAAGAGAGGGGAGCCCUAGGUUGCGCCGUUCUAUCGAAAAAGGGGGAGGGGUAUCUGAUCUUAUAUCUUUUUGUGUCUAAAAAUCUGUCCUUUUAAUGUUAG